rnacentral:lncRNA from 1 species
GGACCCUUUAGCACCGGUUCGUGUUACGAACCGGUGUUAAAGGGGCCUUUAACCCCGGGCCGCAAAAAGGCCGAGGUUUUUGGCCAUUUUGGGCAUCGACCAAUGCCUCAUUCUGCAGUAGUGUAGAGGACCAUGGUGAUGGUGAGGAUGACCACAAAGUGAUCAAGUGUUCAACUUAGAAAAGAAGAAAGAAAAAAAUAAAAAGCCUAUGG